rnacentral:rRNA from 1 species
UACGUAGGGUGCAAGCGUUGUCCGGAAUUAUUGGGCGUAAAGAGCUUGUAGGCGGUUUGUCGCGUCUGCUGUGAAAUUUCGGGGCUCAACCCCGAACUUGCAGUGGGUACGGGCAGACUAGAGUGUGGUAGGGGAGACUGGAAUUCCUGGUGUAGCGGUGAAAUGCGCAGGAUAUCAGGAGGAACACCAGCAGCGAAGGCGG